GAUGAAGAACGUAGCGAAAUGCGAUACGUAAUGUGAAUUGCAGAAUUCAGUGAAUCAUCGAAUCUUUGAACGCAUAUUGCGCUCUCUGGUAUUCCGGAGAGCAUGCUUGUUUGAGUAUCAGUAAACACCUCAACUUCCAUAUCUUUUUUGAAAUGGGAGUUGGACUUGAGUGAUCCCAACGCUUUUCCUCACCGAAAAGUGGCGGGUUACUUGAAAUGCAGGUGCAGCUGGACUUUUCUCUGAGCUAUAAGCAUAUCUAUUUAGUCUGCCUAAAAAACAGAUUAUUACCUUUGCUGCAGCUAACAUAAAGGAGAUUAGUUCUUGUGCUGACUGAUGCAGGAUUCACAAAGACAGGCUUCGGCCGACUUUGUAAACUCGAUCUCAAAUCAAGUAAGACUACCCGGUGAACUUAAGCAUAUCAAUAAGCGGAGGA
rnacentral:misc_RNA from 1 species